rnacentral:lncRNA from 1 species
CAUAGUGGCCUUUUGUAGCUGACUAUAUAUAUGUUUUCAUAUAUCCACUGCAUUUAAACUCUGGUGGAUAGUUGUCUCAUUGGCAAUCACACCACAUCUAACAGUACUUUAUUUCAACUCCUAUGUUGCGUUUUGUAUACUGUAACAUUGUUUAAUUAGUACGCAGACCCCGGAGCCGUCUUUUCUGAAGCCCGAGCAAAAGCGCUUGUUCCG